rnacentral:rRNA from 1 species
CAAUAGCGUAUAUUAAAGUUGUUGCAGUUAGAACGCUCGUAGUCGGAUUUCGGGGCGGGCCGACCGGUCUGCCGAUGGGUACGCACUGGUCGGCGCGUCCUUCCUUCCGGAGACCGUGCCUACUCUUAACUGAGCGGGGGCGGGAGACGGAUCGUUUACUUUGAAAAAAUCAGAGUGUUUCAAGCAGGCAGCUCGCUCUUGCAUGGAUUAGCAUGGGAUAAUGAAAUAGGACUUUGGUGCUAUUUUGUUGGUUUCGAACACCGAAGUAAUGAUUAAAAGGGACAGUCAGGGGCACUCGUAUUCCGCAGAGAGAGGUGAAAUUCUCAGACCCGCGGAAGACGAACCACUGCGAAAGCAUUUGCCAGGGAUGUUUUCACUGA